rnacentral:rRNA from 1 species
GUAGGGAAUAUUGGGCAAUGGUCGGAAGACUGACCCAGCCAUGCCGCGUGCAGGAAGACGGCCCUCUGGGUUGUAAACUGCUUUUAUCUGGGAAGAAAAAGGCCAUGCGUGGCAAAUUGCCGGUCCCAGAUGAAUAAGCACCGGCUAACUCCGUGCCAGCAGCCGCGGUAAUACGGAGGGUGCGAGCGUUGUCCGGAUCUAUUGGGUUUAAAGGGUGCGUAGGCGGCUGAUUAAGUCAGCGGUGAAAGAUUUCGGCAUCACCGGAGGAGUGCCGUUGUUACUGGUUGGCUUGAGUGUCGGAGGGGUACAUGGAAUUGAUGGUGUAGCGGUGAAAUGCAUAGAUACCAUCAGGAACACCGAUAGCGAAGGCAUUGUACUGGCCGACAACUGACGCUGAUGCACGAAAGUGUGGGGAUCGAACAGGAUUAGAAACCCGAGUAGUCC